UAGUCCAUGCCGUAAACGAUGUACACUAGUUGCUCCUUUCCUUAGCGAGAGGGGUGACGAAGCUAACGCAUUAAGUGUACCGCCUGGGGAGUACGGUCGCAAGAUUAAAACUCAAAGGAAUUGACGGGGACCCGCACAAGCGGUGGAGCAUGUGGUUUAAUUCGAAGCAACGCGAAGAACCUUACCUGGACUUAAAUGUAGAUUGCAUAGAGUGGAGACAUUCUUUUCUUCGGACUAUUUACAAGGUGCUGCAUGGUUGUCGUCAGCUCGUGCCGUGAGGUGUCGGGUUAAGUCCCAUAACGAGCGCAACCCCUAUCGUUAGUUGCCAUCAGGUCAUGCUGGGGACUCUAGCGAGACUGCCGGUGUAAACCGCGAGGAAGGUGGGGAUGACGUCAAAUCAGCACGGCCCUUACGUCCAGGGCCACACACGUGUUACAAUGGCCGGUACAGAGGGCAGCUACCUAGCAAUAGGAUGCGAAUCUCGAAAGCCGGUCUCAGUUCGGA
rnacentral:rRNA from 1 species